rnacentral:rRNA from 1 species
AGAGUUUGAUCAUGGCUCAGAACGAACGCUGGCGGCAGGCCUAACACAUGCAAGUCGAACGCCCCUUCGGGGGAGUGGCAGACGGGUGAGUAACGCGUGGGAACGUGCCCUUCGGUUCGGAAUAACUCAGGGAAACUUGAGCUAAUACCGGAUACGUGCGAGAGCAGAAAGAUUUAUCGCCGAAGGAUCGGCCCGCGUCCGAUUAGCUAGUUGGUGAGGUAACGGCUCACCAAGGCGACGAUCGGUAGCUGGUCUGAGAGGAUGAUCAGCCACACUGGGACUGAGACACGGCCCAGACUCCUACGGGAGGCAGCAGUGGGGAAUAUUGGACAAUGGGCGCAAGCCUGAUCCAGCCAUGCCGCGUGAGUGAUGAAGGCCCUAGGGUUGUAAAGCUCUUUCGCCAGGGACGAUAAUG